CCGAAAUCGGAGGUCUCAAGGUUGGCAAGUAUGCCUUAGAGGAGUUUUAUUAAGCACCUGAAUCUACCGGAGCCUUUCAGCAGCUGUAUUUAGAAUUAGAAAGAUAUAUAAACAACUAGAAAAGACAACUAAAUGGAUGUGCCAGUUUGUUGUCUAAUAGUUCAAAUGUCCUCCAUGUCCUCGCCUGGGAAAGUCAUCCGGAACCUCCUGACGUGUCGCUGGUGUCUGUGGACCACCGACACUACACUUCUUCAUCACCCACGAUCUCGAUGCUGUUCUUGGACCAGAUGAUUUCUGUCUCGGCCUUGACGUUUCCUACCUGUGGAGAGCAUUAAAGACAAGAAUGAAGAUUAAGUGUUGGCUUGAUGGUCUCUUUUUUUUGUUUUUUUUUUGUCUUACCGUGCAUUUCAGCAACACAUCACAUUUUGGCGUAACAGUGAAGUCAAGGUACUCAAUAAAGUGAGGACCUG